rnacentral:rRNA from 1 species
UGGGGAAUAUUGCACAAUGGACGGAAGUUUGAUGCAGCGACGCCGCGUGGAGGGUGUAGGCCUUCGGGUUGUGAACUCCUUUUUCUCGCGAAAAAGGCACAGUUUUGGCUGUGUUGAUGGUAGUGGGGGAAGAAGCGCCGGCUAACUACGUGCCAGCAGCCGCGGUAAUACGUAGGGCGCGAGCGUUGUCCGGAAUUAUUGGGCGUAAAGGGCUUGUAGGCGGCUUGUUGCGCCUGCUGUGAAAACGCGGGGCUUAACUUCGCGCGUGCAGUGGGUACGGGCAGGCUUGAGUGUGGUAGGGGUGACUGGAAUUCCAGGUGUAGCGGUGGAAUGCGCAGAUAUCUGGAGGAACACCGAUGGCGAAGGCAGGUCACUGGGCCAUUACUGACGCUGAGGAGCGAAAGCAUGGGUAGCGAACAGG